GCCGAUCUUAUAAGAGAUGGGGGAUGUAUUGGGUUUUAGAGGAUAUGCAUUGCUGACGCCACUUUUUAUAUAAAGAUAAGAUUACACCGAUACAAAGCUCUAACAAAAUAAAAGUUUAUUUGUUUUCCUGUUAUUGAUCAUUUGAUUUACUUUACUAUUCAAGUACUCAGCCAUUAAAUAUUAUAUAAUAAAUUAUAAAAUACUCUAUUAUCUUUUAUUUUUAAUUCCAGCUUGAGUGAAUAUAAUAAGCCCUAUUAUAUUAUAGGUCUAAUAUAUGUGUUUAUUUGAUAAUUAAUUACUUUUAGUAUUUAUGUCUAUUUUAUAAUUGUUCGAUUAACUUACAUAUUAUUAUUGUGUGUUUUACUCUGUACUUGCAAGACACUUUUUAUUGAGAGAUCGGAUAUAAAACCUAUCCAUAAAUCCUUUCAUAUAGAAAUGACAUACGUCUAAAACCAUAGGUACGCACUAACAUGGAGCUCUUUUGUCCACGUUUUUCCUCUUUCUUUGCAUUCACGUUUUUUGGUAUCUCUUACAUUCUCCACGUUGAAAGUGUAAGCAUUAGAGAGAUCUCUCUUACAAGAUAAUAUUCAUCUUAAUACUGUUACGUCUUCAUGUGCCAAAACUUAGGUCUUGAAUUGUUAUGGUAGAUAUCAGUUUCAUCUGGUCAGUAGACGAGUUUACACAUUCUUGAAACCACAUAAAGAACUCGUUACCAAAACACUGAAAUGAGUUACUUCAGUUCCCAAAAAAUAAUAAAACACCAUUGCUUUGACAUGUGUGUGUGUGUACUGAAUGGAUCUUUUAUUUUCACUUAGUAUACAUAUAUGAUAGAGAAAUCAAAUGUGAAAGAUUGUUAAUUUUGUCUUCUAUGUACUAGACGAUAAAUCAUGAUAUAGAAAUUUGUAGAUCUGAUCAAAGAGUAUGGUCUGCAUCAUUUUAAUCAUCCAAAAAUUGAAUGAACCUAAUUUGAAACUACAUAAAGAGAAACUAUAACAAUAUCAGAGAUGUUUAGUUAGAUAUGUACAUAUAUACAUCGAGCUAAUUAAGCGUUUGUUACCAGAUUUGAGUAAUUGGUUGAUCCUAGCUAGACGAUGAUUUUUAUCAUUGAUGACCACUAGUCUAUCAUGUUCAUUAGACAUUAUACUAGCAUAAUUGUGAAUUAGUCUAUCCUGUUCAUUAGACAUUAUACUAGCAUAAUUGUGAAUAGACUGAUCGAUUUUUUUUUUCUUCUCUUUUUGGCGUAUCCGUCUAUCAAAUUUUGAAAAGCUGCAAGACUAAUAACAAGAAAAAAACUCUUUUAUUACGGUCUACAGAGUAGUUCCAAUUACAUUAGCCUCAAACUUAUUAAAAGUUACAUUUUUAUAGAACACACACGAUAACCGUGUAGUGGUAACACUCAUCAACAACUACACUCAUUACCGUGGUAUAUACACUCCAGAGGGUUUGGUUUGGAAUCUAGUAGUAGGGAGGGAAAGGCAUAUCAUGCUGGAAAGGACAAACGCUAACUUGUGGAACUUUGCAAAAUUUAGGCAAUUGCGUAGCGGUCUGGUAGAUACGGCUCACUAUUUGGGGAAGUCCCUGAUGUUGUUCCUGUUCAAACUGGAUUCUAACUUCUUUAGAUACAUGCUUCAAGGCUGGGCAAACACAAAUUUUGUCUUCCUGGCGAAGCUCAUUGCAGCAUUGCUGGAAUAGCGUUGCUUUCAG
rnacentral:lncRNA from 1 species